rnacentral:lncRNA from 1 species
GCAUGCCAGGCGAGCGCGCUACCGCUUGAGCCACAUCCCCAGCCCCCAACAUCCUCUCUUGACCCCUAUCAUUCAUUAUCUACACUGACUGCCAGACCUUCUUCCCCCUGCCUCAGUUUGAUGAGGAAUGUGAUUUUUCCUGUCUCCUUAGGCCAGGUAGGGGCUGCAGGCAGAUUGUGUUUGGCAAAGAAAGUAAGUAGAGAGUCAGUUCAGUGGGCUCAUAUUAUAGAAUUAUUCUCUUAACUUCUGUGUUCCCACCAUCCUCCUCCAUUUGUUACCUUGCACCAUCAUAGUCAAGAUGCUGAAAAGUUCCAUUAAUACAAUUAGGAAAUGGAAGAAAAAUAGGAAGAAAUUUUGUGGAAGAGGAUAAACAGCAAAUUAUCACAUUAGAAAUAUUUUCAGCAGUAUUAGCUGUAAGAGAAUUCCAUUUAAAAAUCAAAAUGUAAGACAAAUGCAUAUAAAAAUCAAAAUGAGAAGACAUCACAACAUGCCUAUUAGAGUAAAAAUAUUGAAUAAAACAUUUUAUUACAAUAAAAACGUUAUAUAUUAGAAUAAAAAUAGUGAUAACAUUAAACAUUAUUGAGGAUGUGAAGAAACUUUCAUAUACUGCUGGUGGAAAUAUGAAAUUAUAUAGCUGCUCUGGAAGAGAUUGGGAAAUUAAAUAUAUUCUUGCCAUACAACCUGCUAAUUUCACUUUCCAGUUUUUAUACCAUACAAAUAAAAACAUGUGCUCACACAAAAGCCUAAAAACAAAUGUUCAUUGCAGCUUUACUCAGUAGCUCCAAAUGGGAAACAACCCAAAUGUUAUUCAACAGGUGCAUGUUUUAACUAGGUGCUGUACAUCCUUAACAUAGAACAAGAAAAUGAACUUCCCAGCCUACCAGGGCAGGACAGAAUGCAACUUGAAUGUAUCCCCAAAUAAAUAGGCUAAGUAAAAAAUUUAAUUUGUGAAGGCAUAUACUAUAUAAUUACAUUUACAUUGAAAUGACAAAAUUUUAAAAAUGGUGAACACAUUAGUGGCUGCCAGGUUGGGGGAGGGGAUGACAGAAAGAUAAGCGUGAUUAUAAAAAAGCAACACUGGAUGUUCUUGUUCAAUAUUUUCAAUAUUUUUGUGACACCAUUUUAGUAAGGAAUCUAACAACCAUUUCAGGCAUGCUUUUAUUAAUCUUUAUAAAUGAAAUUUUUAGAAAGUGGUGAUAACAAUUGUACACACACAGACACACAUCAUACACAUGUGUGCACGCACACACACACACACACACACAGAGUGUUAGGCCAUUACUUCUGUAUAUCUAUCUGAUUAUAUGAUUUACUAUUAGACUUUAUUUAAAGAAAUAAAGGACAACCAGAACAACUGGUAAUAGACUUAAUCUUAUUCAUCCAUGUCAACAUAAGAAUUUUUUUGUUCAGAAAAUGUUUUACUUCAGAACAUUCAGACAUUUGUCACAAAAUGUAAUGUGCCUGACUUCUAAGAGUAUUGCUAAAGUUAUUCUAAUAAUUUAGUAAUUUUUACAAUAAGACAAUCUUCAACAACACUUUGCAAGGAUGACAAUUCUGAAAAAGGGCAUUAGUCCUACUUAAGCAGACACAUGUUGUUAUCUGCUGCUAACAUUCAUUCCACUCUAUGAUCAACCAAUAUUUACUGAACUACUGUAUCAUUCAGGCCUGGAAGAUGUAGAAUGAUAUAUCCAUUAACUGUACAACUGAGGUUUAGUUAUAAGUAGAAAAAUUAAAUGUUAAGUAAAUAUAUUCUAUCUUGGAGCAAAGGAAGAGGUAAUUAAUUUUAACUUGCAAAAUGAUGGCCUUCAAGCUAGAUAUACAGCAAAUGAAAAUUAAAUAUGAAAUAUAAGAAGAAAUAUAUAUCUUCAAAGACAUCUCUUGGGCCCAGUCACUGAAAGUGUUUCAAUAAGUACAAAAUAGUCUCAAAUGUCAAUUUGAUUGGCAUGAUAGGUUAUAUUCCUAAAUCUGUCUUUAUUUCAUUCAUUUUUUGUUUUUUUAGUACCGGGAAUCAAACCUAGGGGUGCCUUACCACUGAGCUACAUCUUCAGCCCACUUUUUAUUUCUUAUUUUGAAAUAGAGUUUCACUAAGUUUCUGAGCCUGGCCUCAAACUUAACAAUCCUCCUCUUUCAGUCUCCUGAGUCACUGAUAUUACAGCCAGGCACCACCAUAUCUGGCUUCAUCCUGCCUUAACAAGGUGUGUUCAUGUGAUUAAUUUCUCGGCCCAGAUCAGAGGUGCAAAUGUUGUAUAUACAUUUCAUGUCUGAGUCCUCAUCCCACAGGUGAAUGAUCGUCUACCUUUUCUUUCCUUUCUUAAGUGUCAGUAUAUGAAGUAUACAUGGCUUACUUUAAAUAAUAGAAUGAAGGAAACUUUGUCCUUGAAAAGCUGCCAAUGUAGAUUGCUCAACUGAAGCUGUUGAAUGAAUUGAAAUAAACUGCUUUGUUAAAUCCAUUAUAUAUGGAGCUUUCUUUUUGCAAUAGUUUAGACUCGUGGAUCUAAAUAGAUGAAAUUCGUAGAGCUGGUACCAAGAGUAGGACAAUACUCUAACAAGCUAAAUUAUUGAACAUCUACUUUACAAUAGGGUGUAAAGACAUAUUUGUUGUAGCUGGAUGACAGAUGACCCUUAUACUGUUGCAAAAUAUAUGGUAAAACUGCAGAGAUUGAAAUGAACAUCGUUGAAAGAUUUGUCACCUUGCUGGCUUGAAAAAACCAGCAGCAUAUUCCCAAUGCCAAGAAAUAUAUCUAUCACCUGAGACUCUCUGAAGGGCCAUGGUGGUUGUAAAAGAUAACAGGA